UAACGUGCACGCGCACUCGUGCGGCGCCCGCGAGCCCUCACUUCCUACAACCCGAGACCCUCCGGACCCGCGACCCCGGACCCCCGUCCCCUUCUCCGCGCCCGGCUGGGCAGCGGGCAGCGCCGGACCCUGAUGGGCUCUCGGCCCUUACUGCCCCUGCGCCUUGCGGCCCUGAGAACAAGACGUGAGCAGGACGGAUAGCGCCCGGCACUCAUGUCUGAGUUUGCAUUUUGAGCAGUGAGAAAGAAAGGUGACUGAUACAACAACGUAGAGGACCCUGCAAUGUGGAGAGGCAUGAAACUGGAGGUCCAGUGCCGUGAGUUAACAAUCAAGACGUCCAUACAGGAGAUGCAUUGGUGGAUGGGUGAAGAGAUGAUAAAACGAAAAGCCCAGAGGAGAAAUGAGGAUGCAAAGAGAAAGAAAAAAACCCCAACCAGAGAGCUGCAAGGAUAUCAGGAAGAGGGAGCGUCCGGGGACGGAGCAGAGCGCGCUUUUCCGAACGCCUUACUCCGGGCUGGGGCUGCUUUCUGCAAGCCCGUGCGGUGCACGUGAGGAGGCUUUCCUUGCGGUGGUGAAAUCAAACACACCUAAGGCGUGAGUCCUCCAGACUUUCCUCACCUGGGCAGCUUGGCCCCGGCCACCUGUGCCUCGCCCGGAGAAACUCCAACGUGCAGGGCGCUGAUGGACGAGAUAGAGCACGACAUCACCAAGGCUCGGCAGAAGAAGACCAAGGUGGGAUCCUUCCGAAUCAAUCCCGAUGGGACUCAGGAGAGGAGAAAGAUCCCCCUAGCUCAGUCGGAGGCGUUCCUAACGGAUCUUUUGGAGAAAGUCUGUGAGCGAAUGAACGACUACAAGCUUGAGGAAGACCCUGUGACGAAGGAGAGAACUUUCAAGAGAUUCGCUCCUAGGAAAGGAGACAAAAUAUACCAAGAAUUUAAAAAAUUGUAUUUUUAUUCUGAUGCUUACAGACCUUUGAAAUUUGCGUGUGAAACUAUAAUAGAAGAGUAUGAAGAUGAAAUAUCCUCACUUAUCGCCCAGGAGACACACUAUCUAGCUGACAAGCUGUGCAGUGAAAAAUCAGAUCUGUGUGAAACUUCUGCUAAUCAUACUGAGCUCUAGGAGUGCCGUUCUGCUGGUCGUAGAGAGGAGUAAAGUCACACCCAAAGGUGAAGCUGAGGAGUACAUGAAACUUAAAUUAACCUUUGCAGAUUUUGAUAAAUCAAGCUUGACAAUAGAGGAUUUAAUUCUGUAUUGAGGAAAAAAGCGAAGACAUUUCAUAAACAAAAUAGGGAUUUCAUAAUGUAUGCUGCUUAUUUUAUAACAGUGUAUGUGCACAUAUGCAAGCGCAGUGGCUGUCUGAUAAGAACUGGAUUUGAAUCCUCAAAUACUUGAUUGCCUAUAAAUUUAAGGAAAUACAUGGCAACAAAUUCAAAAUGUGGCCUUCUGGGUGAGAUAUGGCUAUUAGUGAAAGAAACCCACUUUUUAUCAGGAAUGAAAUUAAAAUUUUUAGAAACCACAAGUUUAAAAACCCAUCUCUAAAAUUUAGUGGAAUGUGUAAAAACUAAUGAAUGCUUUAAUUUAUAGUAAACAAUAAUUAUAUUGGCCUCUCAAACACCAUUCUGAGUUUAAGUGGCUUAGAAAGUUGAUUUAUUAUUGCAUCAGGUGUUAAAAGAUGACACUAGUGAUUGCGUUUUGUUUCGCUCCAAACUCUUCUGGCUUGUUUGUUUUUCUUCUAAACGUUUUUUUUUUGGCUCACAUUUAGUGUGUUGAGUUUACUACUAAAUAAUCUACCAUUCUUCUACAGGAAUGGAAAAAGAGUUGGGACCUGGUGGGAAAUUAUCUUUUGGCCACACUUAAUAUACAAAGUCUAGUAACAAUCACUCCCGGAAAUUUCUUUAUCUCUGUUACAUUUGCAUUCAAUGGAAUCUGACUUUAAUGAUUAAAAAUGUCAGGGUAUGGUCUACACCAGUUUCUAAAAAGAGAUUCUCAUUGUCUUUGGUGACAAUCAAGUGGGUAGGAUGCUACAAAUCCCCCCCCCAACCCCCCCGACCCAAAACUCUUUGCCAUAUUGUUACUUAGUUGCUUAAAAAGCACAUUAUGUGUUUAAAUCAUUCUCCUGACUCUUCAGCAGGAAACAAUUCUUAAAUUUAGGAAAAUUUACCAAAGCUAAGGGGAAGGGCUUUCCAUGCCCCCUCCCCACCUAAACUCUGAUUAAAAGUUAGUGAGUUAAUGUCACUUAAUUACUUGGGUGCUUCUUUUUUGUCUUGUCUGUGGCUGCUUAAGUCUGAUGGCUCCUACAUAACCCAGCGAACUCGCACCCGAGCUGACACACGAUGGAAAUAGAACUGAAUAAUAAUUAACACUAUUUUCCAGUAGGGUAGGACAAUUGUUAUUUAAAACAUAGUCCCUAUAGCUUUAUUUAAACGUAUCUAGUUAAGGUUAAUUUGGCAUUUAAAGUAGUAAAUCAGGAACAUUCUCCUAACUUGGAUUUUCUUGGGAAAUGCACUAAACAGGACAAUUAUUCCUGAAAACCUAGUGACCUUCACAGGAACAUGGCGGGACCUGUGACACUAAGUAAGCUUCAGUGAAAACUGUUCACGGUCGUAACCGUAGAAGUGUUGCCAAAUCUGUUUCCAUACUCUCUUUGAUCAUCAUCAAACAUUCUCAAAUGUAGGCAAUGCUAACACUAAUUAUAGAAAUUAAGAAAAUGUGGGCUCCUGUUUGUAACUAAACGGACGUGGGGA
rnacentral:lncRNA from 1 species